rnacentral:rRNA from 1 species
GAUGAACGCUGGCGGCGUGCCUAAUACAUGCAAGUCGAGCGAACAGACGAGGAGCUUGCUCCUCUGACGUUAGCGGCGGACGGGUGAGUAACACGUGGAUAACCUACCUAUAAGACUGGGAUAACUUCGGGAAACCGGAGCUAAUACCGGAUAAUAUAUUGAACCGCAUGGUUCAAUAGUGAAAGACGGUUUUGCUGUCACUUAUAGAUGGAUCCGCGCCGCAUUAGCUAGUUGGUAAGGUAACGGCUUACCAAGGCAACGAUGCGUAGCCGACCUGAGAGGGUGAUCGGCCACACUGGAACUGAGACACGGUCCAGACGCCUACGGGAGGCAGCAGUAGGGAAUCUUCCGCAAUGGGCGAAAGCCUGACGGAGCAACGCCGCGUGAGUGAUGAAGGGCUUCGGAUCGUAAAACUCUGUUAUUAGGGAAGAACAAAUGUGUAAGUAACUAUGCACGUCUGGACGGUACCUAAUCAGAAAGCCACGGCGAACUACGG